GCCUCCUCUAGCUGACCUUGAGGCGUCCCUAGCAUGCUCUCCUCUUUGUCUUGUUCCUUCUGGCCGCGUUCGAGCUGCUCUGAGACGCAGGCACAGCGUCGAACACCUGGCGUGCGUGCACUAGUAUAUCCCUUCCUGAGCAAGGAGACGACCAAGCUCACUGCCCUGCCUCUCCUGGCACGCCACCGUGCCUUGGCACCUUCCCUCUAUCCAGAGCCACCGCCCUUUUUGCCCAAUGGAUGGCCGUGGACGUCGCCACCCUCGCCAUGGACGCGGUGCACGCCCCGUCGCGGUGCACCAUGUCCUCAUCCUAUUAAAACCGAACCUAAGACCUUCUCCACCGUCCCCGGGCCUCACUCCCUCUCCUCUCACCUCUCUUCAUCUCUCAGAGCAGCGGAAGGAGGAGCCCUGCUCCCUUCUUUCUUCGCCGGCGGAGCAGACCGAGCGGUGUCCUGCAUGUCGCCGCGCACGUCGUGGCCGCGGCUGCCACCACUCCUCCGCCCUUUCUCUUUGUUCCCUUCGACGCUGAUAUAUCCCUCUAGUUGAACCGCCCCCUUUUCGUUGCCAGGAACCACUGCGAGGUCACCGGCGUCGGGCAUCUUCCCGUGCGGUCGAGGAACGUGUCCCCGUCCACGCGAGAGACUGGAGCUCGGCCUGUGCGUCUCUGGCGCCAGGAUAGCGCGCCAGGAGCCCCUCCGCCUGAACUUCGUUGCUCAGGUCCCUCAGCGGUGAGCCUCCACCUCCCUCCGCUCCCUGCUUCGCGGCGGCGCCGCUACUUCCUCAUCGUGCCGGUCCUCACCGCGGAGCUGUCUCGUCUGCGUCGACGUCCGGGAAGCCGCCCCUGCAUGGCCGAGCUGAAUGAAGCGAGCCUCUGCUCUCCCGCCGCACCAUCCCCAGCCUCGCCUUCGUCACCGCCGAGCUCGUAUCCUCCGUGCAUGUCGCCGUCGACGGAGUUCCGUCCGUGCCGGCCAGAGAACAUCUCGCCGGCAUGCAGCUCCACAAGCAUGUUCAGAACCUCCCUGCGGGACUCCUCGAGCCCCACGCCGCCGCCGUCGCUCGGCACACGCGCGCGGCUGCUGCACCCUCCGUCUCUUCCCCCGUCUUUGUGUUUCCGCUUCCUCGUGCAGCUCUAACCCGGACCCCAUGUUUUUCCAGAGAGCUCGUGGAGUGUCCGGCGUCGUCAAGUACGUCCGCGGCGCCGUCGACCUCUCGUCUCUAGCCGCGUCGACGUCUGGGCGCUCGUCGGCAUGCCGCGUCGCGCCCCUGCGCUGCCCGACCCGCCGCUCCUCCUCCGCGUCCUCCCUGAACCGCCGCAGAACCUCCCUCGGUGAGCCGUCGAUCCUUCUCCGUCGCUGCCGCACCUCCGUAUAGCGUCGUCGCGGGACAACGCGUCGAGGACGGCCGGAUACGUGUGCAUGCACGCCCUCCUCGCGUGCGCGGGCCUUGGCUGGCCGGUCCAGCCCAGGCCAUUCGAAUCUGCAGCAUCCCGCGCGUCCGUGUCGUCGCCUCGAGGUCGCAUCAGAUCGAUGGUCGCCGCUGUCGAAGUUCUGUCGUCCGUGCCGGUCUGUCCCGGCACCGCGCAUGCUCCCGUCCGCGUCGACGUCUCCAGCACGUCCAAGAUGCUUCGCUGGGCCACCCUAGUCCGCCUCGCCAUCAUCUGGCAGUCCUCGUCGAGCUCCAGCAGUACCUGAUUCGAAUGUUGAUGGACUCGAAGGAGGAUAAGAAUUUGAGGAAUUUGAUGAAGACCAGGGACACCUAGCCAACCAAGGCAAGCCACCUCUUGAUGCAUCUCUGAUCCUAUAUAUCUUACUCUUGCAUUAUUGCAGGUUUUAUAAAGUGCAUGUCUUUUUAUUUUCAUUUCGGUGGUUAGUGCCACCCGGAGUUUUAUUAAUCCACCCUUAGGGUGCAGCCCUCGUUGGUACCUAAUGACCACACCUCUAUUAGUGAUAUGGUGCUUACCACCUUAUCACCCUUGUCGCCUCUUUUCAAAGAGAAAUUGGACUAUAGGUUGGGAGCCCUGGAAAAAUAUUUGUGAAAAUUGUUUUCAAGCAAAAAGGUUUUUCUGGAAAACCUUGGAAUGGGGUUGCCCUGCCCAAGUGUGGUUUUUGUGAAACACAAAAAGGUUUAUGAAAGAUAUUGCUGGAGGCAAAUGGAGAUGAAAAGUUGUUUUUGAAAAACCUUGGUGAC